rnacentral:rRNA from 2 species
GCGGUUCCUUAAGUCUGAUGUGAAAGCCCCCGGCUCAACCGGGGAGGGUCAUUGGAAACUGGGGAACUUGAGUGCAGAAGAGGAGAGUGGAAUUCCACGUGUAGCGGUGAAAUGCGUAGAGAUGUGGAGGAACACCAGUGGCGAAGGCGACUCUCUGGUCUGUAACUGACGCUGAGGAGCGAAAGCGUGGGGAGCGAACAGGAUUAGAUACCCUGGUAGUCCACGCCGUAAACGAUGAGUGCUAAGUGUUAGGGGGUUUCCGCCCCUUAGUGCUGCAGCUAACGCAUUAAGCACUCCGCCUGGGGAGUACGGUCGCAAGACUGAAACUCAAAGGAAUUGACGGGGGCCCGCACAAGCGGUGGAGCAUGUGGUUUAAUUCGAAGCAACGCGAAGAACCUUACCAGGUCUUGACAUCCUCUGACAAUCCUAGAGAUAGGACGUCCCCUUCGGGGGCAGAGUGACAGGUGGUGCAUGGUUGUCGUCAGCUCGUGUCGUGAGAUGUUGGGUUAAGUCCCGCAACGAGCGCAACCCUUGAUCUUAGUUGCCAGCAUUCAGUUGGGCACUCUAAGGUGACUGCCGGUGACAAACCGGAGGAAGGUGGGGAUGACGUCAAAUCAUCAUGCCCCUUAUGACCUGGGCUACACACGUGCUACAAUGGACAGAACAAAGGGCAGCGAAACCGCGAGGUUAAGCCAAUCCCACAAAUCUGUUCUCAGUUCGGAUCGCAGUCUGCAACUCGACUGCGUGAAGCUGGAAUCGCUAGUAAUCGCGGAUCAGCAUGCGCGGGUGAAAUACGUUCCCCGGGCCUUGUACACACCGCCCGUCACACCACGAGAGUUUGUAACACCCGAAGUCGGUGAGGUAACCUUUAUGGAGCCAGCCGCCGAAGGUGGGACAGAUGAUUGGGGUGA